UACGGAGGGUGCAAGCGUUAUCCGGAUUCACUGGGUUUAAAGGGCGCGUAGGUGGGCUAGUAAGUCAGUGGUGAAAUCUCCGGGCUUAACCCGGAAACUGCCAUUGAUACUAUUAGUCUUGAAUGUCGUGGAGGUAAGCGGAAUAUGUCAUGUAGCGGUGAAAUGCUUAGAUAUGACAUAGAACACCAAUUGCGAAGGCAGCUGGCUACACAAAUAUUGACACUGAGGCACGAAAGCGUGGGGAUCAAACAGG
rnacentral:rRNA from 1 species